GAAAACUAUUUUGUGGUCGUAACAUUGAUAGCACUUUCAAUCAGAUCGAGCGUUGUAGUGACAUUAUGAAUAUUGCCGGGAUGAUCUGCAUGCGGAAGUCCUUGAACAACGUUCAUGAUGCGUAACAUUUUAUCUUUAACAUUUUUUUGUACCUUAUAGUUCAAUGAGUUCACAUUGUUUAUAUAGUUUCUUGACUUGUAAAAAGCCAAUGGUUAAACUUCGAAUAACUUGAAAAAAAAUUUAGAAGAAUUUUACUUGAAUGCAGGGGUGUGACUUGAGUCCCGAGAAUGGAGAGGGGAAACGUUGCAGAAUUUGAUUUGCCCAACAAAAACGUAGUGUAAUUUUUUAUGUUAAUACCAGCAAAAUCGCUUUUUACUUAGUUAUGAGUUGAUCCAAACGUCAUCGUUAAUAUUUGCCGUUUUAAUUUCCGCAAAAUUACAUGCUUUGCUCGACAAAACUGCUAACUUUUUGAAAGGGAGAGGCUGAGCCACCACAUAUCAAUCCCCUCUCCAGGAUUUACACCCCUGUUUCAACGUUACUGAUACAGCAAUUAACGAUUUGUGCACGCUAAAUUUACAUGUAUAUUAUCAUGGGAAUCAUCUCUUACAAACUAUAAAAAACUUUAAAAUUCAA